AUUAGAUACCCUGGGUAGUCCACGCGGUAAACGAUGAUUACUAGGUGUCGGGGGGUUAUAACCCUUCGGUGCCGCCGCAAACGCAAUAAGUAAUCCACCUGGGGAGUACGUUCGCAAGAAUGAAACUCAAAGGAAUUGACGGGGACCCGCACAAGCGGUGGAGCAUGUGGUUUAAUUCGAAGCAACGCGAAGAACCUUACCUGAUCUUGACAUCCCCCUGACCGGCCCGUAAUGGGGCCUUCCCUUCGGGGCAGGGGAGACAGGUGGUGCAUGGUUGUCGUCAGCUCGUGUCGUGAGAUGUUGGGUUAAGUCCCGCAACGAGCGCAACCCUUAUCCUUAGUAGCCAGCAGUAAGAUGGGAACUCUAGGGAGACUGCCGGGGAUAACCCGGAGGAAGGUGGGGAUGACGUCAAAUCAUCAUGCCCCUUAUGACCAGGGCUACACACGUGCUACAAUGGCGUAAACAAAGGGAGGCGAGACCGCGAGGUAGAGCAAAUCCCAAAAAUAACGUCUCAGUUCGGAUUGUAGUCUGCAACUCGACUACAUGAAGCUGGAAUCGCUAGUAAUCGCAGAUCAGAGUGCUGCGGUGAAUACGUUCCCGGGUCUUGUACACACCGCCCGUCACACCAUGGGAGUUGGAAAUGCCCGAAGUCAGUGACCCAACCGUGGAGAAACUCGUUUCUCCGGAGGGAGCUGCCGAAGGCAGGUCUGAUAACUGGGGUGAAGUCGUAACAAGGUACC
rnacentral:rRNA from 1 species